UACGGAAGGCAGCAGUGGGGAAUAUUGCACAAUGGGCGCAAGCCUGAUGCAGCCAUGCCGCGUGUAUGAAGAAGGCCUUCGGGUUGUAAAGUACUUUCAGCGGGGAGGAAGGCGAUGCGGUUAAUAACCGCGUCGAUUGACGUUACCCGCAGAAGAAGCACCGGCUAACUCCGUGCCAGCAGCCGCGGUAAUACGGAGGGUGCAAGCGUUAAUCGGAAUUACUGGGCGUAAAGCGCACGCAGGCGGUCUGUUAAGUCAGAUGUGAAAUCCCCGGGCUUAACCUGGGAACUGCAUUUUGAAACUGGCAGGCUUGAGUCUUGUAGAGGGGGUAGAAUUCCAGGUGUAGCGGUGAAAUGCGUAGAGAUCUGGAGGAAUACCGGUGGCGAAGGCGGCCCCUGGGACAAAGCUGACGCUCAGGGUGCGAAAGCUGGGGAGCAAACAGGAUUAGGAUACC
rnacentral:rRNA from 1 species